AUUGCAGUGCUCGGUCCCAUUUCCCUUUUCUCCCGCGGACUGUGGCAAGUCAGUCAGCUUUUUCAAAAAUAUUUGUAAAAGUGGAAAGAAGAAUUUUGUGUGGCUUAACAUUGAAGACUACAUUCAACAGGGAGGAUGCACAUUCUCAUGCCUUUGAAACACUUGGUAUCCCAGAGUGAUUCCUAAACACUUCAGAAAAUACACAGUAUAAAUCGAGCAAAAGAGCCACUGUGGAACAAGCUAGAUCCUUGGCUCAAGAGUGCAUCGGCAUGGUAUUUAAGGAGCAGACCCUCUGAGCGACUGGAAGCUCAUGCUGAGAAGAACAAAUGUUUCAUCAUUUUAACAGAUCACCUGUGGUGAUUUCUUCAGCCAGGGAAGAAGAGAUAUGUCAGCAUGAAAAGGCUACAACUGCUUCCAGAAACUAUGAGCGGAUGGCAAAAAAAAAAAUUGGAAGGCAGACUGGAAAAGUAGAGUAAACUGUCCAUUAAUCACCUAAUUACUAAUCCUCUGAGCCACAUAUGACUACAGGCUUAAUGAAGGCAAUAAAAUGUGUGCAAUUUGUAUCUAAAGUAAUUACAGGGACACUGCAAUUUUCAAAAAAUAUUAAUUUUAUUAAUCUUAGGAAUGUGAGUGCAGAGAGAAAAUUUGUAGAACCAAAGCAAUGGCAAAUGGGAUCGAUAAAAAUACAUUAAUGUCAUUUAAAUUAGUGCAAAUGUUUGUUUUAUGAAGCUCCAUUAAAAUUCAUUUCCAAAGUAUCUACUGAAGCUAAAACUGCUAUGUGGGUAUGUACAUGUGUAAAACAGAAACAUGAGACAAAUAUUUCUAAGAUAUCUGAUUUACUGGUAGCUGGAUCCUGGAAUGUGAUUCACUAUUGCAGUCUCAUUCACAGUUGCAUGAAUCAACUACCUACCAUUGAGGUAUAGAUAUUUUAAAACAAUUAUUUUUCAGUUAUCACUUCACUUGCAAAUUAUGAAAGUAGGUCAUUACAGCUGUC